GACGAACCAUCCAAACGUUAUUCGGAAUUACUGGGCUUAAAGGGUGCGUAGGCUGCGCAGAAAGUUGGGUGUGAAAUCCCUCGCUUAACCGAGGAACUGCGCCCAAAACUGCUGUGCUUGAGGGAGACAGAGGUGAGCGGAACUUAGGGUGGAGCGGUGAAAUGCGUUGAUAUCCUAAGGAACACCCGUGGCGAAAGCGGCUCACUGGGUCUCUUCUGACGCUGAUGCACGAAAGCUAGGGGAGCGAACGGG
rnacentral:rRNA from 1 species